AUUGAACGCGGGCGGCAGGCUUAACACAUGCAAGUCGAACGAUGAUUAUCUAGCUUGCUAGAUAUGAUUAGUGGCGGACGGGUGAGUAACGUUGAGGAAUCUGCCUUUUAGUGGGGGAUAGCUCGGGGAAACUCGAAUUAAUACCGCAUACGUCCUACGGGAGAACGGUGGCGCAAGCUAUCGCUAACAGAUGCGCAUAAAUCAGAUUAGCUAGUUGGUGGGGUAAAGGCCCACCAAGGCGACGAUCUGUAACUGGUCGGAGAGGAUGAUCAGGCACACCGGAACUGAGACACGGUCCGGAAUCCUACGGGAGGCAGCAGUGGGGAAUAUUGGACAAUGGGGGCAACCCUGAUCCAGCCAUGCCGCGUGUGUGAAGAAGGCCUUUUGGUUGUAAAGCACUUUAAGCAGGGAGGAAGAGCAGCUAGUGAUAACCUAGCUGUGGUGACGUUACCUGCAGAAUAAGCACCGGCUAACUCUGUGCCAGCCGCCGCCGUAA
rnacentral:rRNA from 1 species